CCUUUCUACAGUUGCGAUACUCAAGUUGAUAAAUUGCUUCAUUUUCGAGAUCUUUUGACGGCUUGCGUAUGUUGCGUUCUGUGUACAAGCAUUAACGUGCGUACAUACAGCAUGAAGUAGGGUUCGGAGUACAAGCAUUAACGUGCGUACAUUUGCAGCAUGAAGGUGUUUCUGAUGACUAUCGUGAUAUGUGUCUCAAAGAGGAUUCAAGGAAGACCCAAAGAAAUAUGCGACAACAACAGCACAUUUACUUCCGACAGCACCAGUACGCAAAUGACUCCACUUGUAAAACUGCAUUGCCCUCCCCACCUUCAAGUUGGUGACCAUGCGCAGUUGAUAUGUCAUGUCUCACGUGCAGCGCAAGUAUCGAUCACGUGGUAUAAGGACCAUCGGUCACGUGUUGUGCCUGAUAAAUAUAUUGACAUGCUCACGUGCCAGAGGUCACUGACGAUAGGCUCGGUUGAAGUGUAUGAGGCGGGCCGGUACACGUGUCAAGCGAGGAACAUUUAUGCUUCAGCCAACGACUCGUGUGUCUUAAAAGUGGGUGAGUCCCUUUUUAAGGAUCAGUUCUAAUCCCCCUUAAACAGUUCUUGUAUCCACAUGAGCACGAUUGUAAAAUUGUUCAAGAUCACUAGUAUUUAAAAAGAUCUAGAUCCGACUCUAGUGACGCUAAAAAAAUCAACGCAAAUGGGAUGUACAUUUCAGAAUCGAACGAAGGCCACCCGAAUCACGGGGACAUUAAUCCUUACACCAGGCUCCCGCCUUGAAUGGGUGUCUCAAGGACAUUAAUCCUUCCACCAGGCUCCCGCCUUGAAUGGGUGUCUCAAGGACAUUAAUUCUUCCACCAGGCUCCCGCCUUGAAUGGGUGUCUCAAGGACAUUAAUUCUUCCACCAGGCUCCCGCCUUGAAUGGGUGUCUCAAGGACAUUAAUCCUUACACCAGGCUCCCGCCUUGAAUGGGUGUCUCAAGGACAUUAAUCCUUCCACCAGGCUCCCGCCUUGAAUGGGUGUCUCAAGGACAUUAAUCCUUACACCAGGCUACCGCCUUGAAUGGGUGUCUCAAGGACAUUAAUCCUUACACCAGGCUACCGCCUUGAAUGGGUGUCCUAAGCCUUGAGGGGGCCAUGCAUUCCUGCUUUUACUUUGAUGAUUUAGCUUUCUAAGGAGGGACAAACAUUCAUUUCAGCUCCAGCAGUAAACAUCAUGUGGAUGAGAGAUCUGGUUAUCGAUGGAGUGCAAAUUGACCACAAGGUCGUCUUAGGCACCGCCCUGAAUAUCACAUGCGAAGUGAUCCACGCCCGCGGUGCAUGGUGGCAGAAGAAUGGAUUGCUCCUACCACACAACGUCACACAUUUCAUGAGGCGAGCUGAUAAUAACGCCAGACUUAUACUUCAUAUAUGGUUUAAUCGCGUACAGAAAAAUGAUGAAGGCAACUACACAUGUUUGGGUUACCGAGCGGGUCUAGUGAGGCAAAAGCACUUUCGCUUGGUGACUGUUGCUGGUGUCGACGCGCCAGUUGUGUUUCCCGGAAAGUCUCCUUCUCGCAAUGGCUGUACGGACUUGAGUGCUCUGGAAACCCUCGUGUUUUGCGGAGCAGUACUUGCUUUUGCGCAGCAGACCUUCGGUACCCUGUCACCCAAAUAAAUCCAACCAAGC